rnacentral:misc_RNA from 1 species
AGCGAGACAUUAAUAAAAUCAAUUUGGAUAAAGUUCGAUAAUAAGCCAUUAACUUCACUGACAGCAAAGGCUAAAAAAAAUUGCUUGUUGGAUUGAAUGUUGAAGGAUCUACCCCAAAAACAUUUCUUUUCCUCAUGCCAGGGCCCUAAAUUUAUCGCCAGUGAUAUAAACUAGCCAAUUCUCUACAGUUUUUUAAGAAAUCAAAUUUGCAAUAAAUUGUAAAAGCUGAAGCCAAAGGAGGGGGAAAAUGUACAUACUGAUUCCUUCAACUCAGUAUCAAGCCACCUUUUAUCAUCCGCCAAUAAUGACCCCCUUUUAAACAAACAAGUACUGUAAGAUCGGAACGCUCACUAUCUAAAAA